rnacentral:rRNA from 1 species
CCUACGGGAGGCAGCAGUAGGGAAUCUUCCGCAAUGGACGCAAGUCUGACGGAGCAACGCCGCGUGAGUGACGAAGGUUUUCGGAUCGUAAAACUCUGUUGUGAGGGAAGAACAAGUACCACUUAACUACUGGUACCUUGACGGUACCUCACCAGAAAGCCACGGCUAACUACGUGCCAGCAGCCGCGGUAAUACGUAGGUGGCAAGCGUUGUCCGGAAUUAUUGGGCGUAAAGCGCGCGCAGGCGGUCCCUUAAGUCUGAUGUGAAAGCCCACGGCUCAACCGUGGAGGGUCAUUGGAAACUGGGGGACUUGAGUGCAGAAGAGGAAAGUGGAAUUCCACGUGUAGCGGUGAAAUGCGUAGAGAUGUGGAGGAACACCAGUGGCGAAGGCGACUUUCUGGUCUGUAACUGACGCUGAGGCGCGAAAGCGUGGGGAGCAAACAGGAUUAGAUACCCUGGUAGUCCACGCCGUAAACGAUGAGUGCUAAGUGUUAGGGGGUUUCCGCCCCUUAGUGCUGCAGCUAACGCAUUAAGCACUCCCCCUGGGGAGUACGGCCGCAAGGCUGAAACUCAAAUGAAUUGACGGGG